AAAACUCCAUAGGACUCCUAAGAAGGA
rnacentral:piRNA from 1 species